UACGUAGGGCGCAAGCGUUAUCCGGAAUUAUUGGGCGUAAAGAGCGUGUAGGCGGCCGUACAGGUCAGCUGUGAAAACUCGAGGCUCAACCUCGAGACGUCGGUUGAAACCGUAUGGCUAGAGUCCGGAAGAGGAGAGUGGAAUUCCCGGUGUAGCGGUGAAAUGCGCAGAUAUCGGGAAGAACACCCGUGGCGAAGGCGGCUCUCUGGGACGGUACUGACGCUGAGACGCGAAAGCGUGGGGAGCGAACAGG
rnacentral:rRNA from 1 species